AUGGACUGGGACCUUCUGCGGCAGUCACUGAACUACCAUGGGCCAUCAUUGCUCUCCCUGCUCCGGAGCAAACAGCAGGAGAGUCCUCACUUCCGGAGCCUCCUAGGGUUGGUGGCCGUGCCUGCCCAGGGCCCGCCGCCCCAGCAGCAGUUACAGGGCAGAAAAGAGAAGAGAGUUGACAACAUUGAAAUACAAAAAUUUAUUUCCAAAAAAGCGGAUUUGCUUUUUGCACUUUCCUGGAAAUCAGAUGCACCUGCAACUUCUGAAGUCAGUGAAGACAAUGAAGGUGGUUAUGCAAUCAGGCCACCUUUACAACAGUUCAUGGAGAUACCUAGUAUGGACUGGAGAGAGCUCUUUUUCUGAGAUAUUGGGCCUGGUGAUAUAGUGAUUGGAAGAAAUAGUUCCAUUCGGGAAUUUGGGUUUUUCAUGGUGUUGAUUUGUUUAGGCAGUGGCAUCAUAAGAGAUAUAUCUCAUUAGAAAUCACAGCUCUUUGUCUGUUAAGAGAUGUGCCUUCUCACAGUAAUCACGGGGAUCCUUUAUCAUAUUACCAAACUGGUGACAUGAUUUGAGCUGGAAUCAAAGAUAUUGACAGAUACCAUGAAAAGCUUGCAGUGUCUCUAUAUAGCUCAUCUCUUCCACCACAUCUAUCUGGUAUUAAACUAGGUGUAAUUAGUUCUGAAGAGCUUCCUUUAUACUACAGGAGAAGUGUUGAACUAAAUAGCAAUUCUUUGGAAUCCUAUGAAAAUAUCAUGCAGAGUUCUUUGGGAUUUGUUAAUCCAGGAGUUGUUGAAUUCCUUCUAGGAAAACUAGGAAUAGAUGAAUCUAAUCCACCAUCUUUAAUGAGAGGCCUACAAAGCAAAAACUUCUCUGAAGAUGAUUUUGCUUCUGCAUUAAGAAAGAAACAGUCUGCAUCUUGGGUUUUAAAAUGUGUGAAGAUUGGAGUUGAUUAUUUUAAGGUUGGACGCCAUGUAGAUGCUAUGCAUGAAUACAAUAAGGCUUUGGAAAUAGACAAACAAAAUGUGGAAGCUUUGGUAGCUCGUGGAGCAUUAUAUGCAACAAAAGGAAGUCUGAACAAAGCAAUAGAAGAUUUUGAGCUUGCAUUGGAAAACUGUCCAACUCAUAGGAAUGCAAGGAAAUACCUCUGCCAGACACUUGUAGAAAGAGGAGGGCAGUUAGAAGAAGAAGAAAAGUUUUUAAAUGCUGAAAGUUACUACAAGAAAGCUUUGGCUUUGGAUGAGACUUUUAAAGAUGCGGAGGGGGCGCCUAGGUGGCUCAGUUGGUUAAGCGACUGCCUUCAACUCAGAGAAAAACAAGCUGAAAAGGAAGAAAAGCAGAAAACAAAGAAAAUAGAAACAAGUGCAGAAAAGUUGCAUAAGCUCUUAAAAGAGGAGAAAAGGCUAAAGAAGAAAAGAAGAAAAUCAACUUCUUCCUCUUCAAGUGUUUCUUCUGCUGAUGAAUCUGAUUCUUCAUUAUCAUCCUUUUCCUCUUCUGGUCACAAAAGGCAUAAGAAACAUAAGAGGAACCAUUCAGAGUCUUCUCGAAGUUCCAAAAAGCAUUUAUCUAAGGCCUCCUCAAGUCAGAUAGAUCAGAAUAGGAAAGAUGAGUGCUUCCCAGUUCCAACCAAUACUUUAGCAUCUUUUCUUAACCAAAAACAAGAAGUGGAAAAACUACUGGAAAAGCAGGACAGGUUACCAUAUCAAAAGAAACAGGUAAAAGAGAAAGAUAGAUGCCCUCUCUCUUCAUCUUCAGUUGAAAUUCCGGAUGAUUUUGGAGGUAGGUCUGAAGAUCCAAGAGAUUUUUAUACUCAGGCAAGUAGUAGCAAAACAGAAAAACCAUAUAAAUCAGAAAAAUAUUUUUCCAGUAGAAGAGAUUCCUCAGAUUCCUUUUAUAGGAAUUCAGAGGACAAAGUGAAAACUUACAGUUAUAGAAGAUUUGAAAAAUAUACAGAGGGAAGAAAAGAGCACUAUAGAAGGUGGGAGCCAGGUUCCGUGAGGCAUUCCACUUCACCAGCAAGCUCAGACUACUCUGUAAGUCAGUUGAAAAAUAUAAAAAAUACACUUAUUCAGGAUCACGUGAUUUUAGUAGACAUGAGCAAAGAUAUCCGUUAAAUAAAAAUCAAGGAGAAUAUGAAAUAGAGGAUAAUUAUGAAGAGGAUAUCAAAACAGAGGUUCCAGAAGCAGAUGGCCUGAAUAGCAAAGAGCAGUCAGAAAGUGGAGUUAAAAAAAAAAAUCACCUCAGAAUUUACUCAAUAUAUUUAAUCAGAUAGCUGCAUUUGAGAAAAAAAAGGAAAUAAGCCAAAAAAAUAA